CAACAGACAGAUAGAUAGACAGACAGAAAUAAAGACAGGCAGUUAGAUAGUCACAGACAAACAGACACAGACAAGCAAGCAGAGGCAGACAGAGGUAAAGACAGACAGGCAGACAGAGACAGACUGACUGACAGAAAGACACACACACACACACACACACACACACACACACACACACACACACACACUAUUAACGCUAACACGCAUCAGGGAUAGAAAAAAAUAGCACGCAACCAUGACAUAAAAGAAAUAUAAACAAAAUCCUUGACGCAAAACAAGAAAAGUACGAAUCAUAACACGCGGACAAUUUACUUUUCUUUUUACUACUCUUUUUUUUUCUUUUUUUCUUUUACGUGUUGACAAUCAGGCAUACAGAUAGACGGGUAGACGGAGAGGGACACACACACACACACACACACACACACACACACACCACAUUUUAAACGCUGGUUGUGGUAAUGGUGGUGGUGGUGGUGGUGGUAGCAGUUAUAUUGGUAGUUGUGGUGGUAGUAGUAGUAGUAGUAGUAGUAGUAGUAGUAGUAGUAGUAGUAGUAGUAGUAGUAGUAGUAGUAGUAGUGGUGGUGGUGGUGGUGGUGGUGGACCGGGAUCGAUACCUUUACCGUGGCUGGAACCUGUGCGUGGGUCUGCAUGAUUGUUAACCCGCAUGACACACACACACACACACACACACACACACACACACCCUGGUCACCGCCAUCACCAACACUACCCUAUCAACAGCAUUCCACGUCUGUCGUCUCCACCGUUGACUGGCCACCACGCCCACCACCUCCACCACUGCCAAUGGGAAGUAUAAGCAAGGUGACUGUAAUGGUCCUUCAAAUCGCUAUAGUAGUUAAGGAUUACGUAAGUUUUUUUUCUUUUUUUUUCCCUUUUUUCAUACAACCUUCCAAGCGUGUAAGUAUUCAUUAUAGCUAAAAACUGUGAGCUUCUUUGAACGCUUUCGGGGAAUAAGUGUUGUUUCUCUAUAUCAGUUUCUUACAUUACAAUGAUUGAAAUUUCAUCUGUUCCUUAAUACUUUUAAUUUUCAGAUACCUGACAAGUUCCUGGUGGUUUAAACUUUGUGUCGGUUUAAUUUUUUACUUGUUCUUGGUGGCUGUUUUUCACGUUUCUUAUACUUUUACUCGGAUCUGCUUCUGGUGGUUUCAGUUUCAUGUCUUGUGAAUUUUACAUUUAUAUGUUCAUGGCAAUGUGCAAUUUUCUGAUGUUCCAGUUUUCAAGACAAAUUUCAGACAACUUCUCGUAUACGGCAAAGGACUCGUGAACUACCGACCGCCUGUACGAAUCUACUUCUCUUAAAGGUCGUGGUAAGAAGACAGAAGCACCAACCGACCUUACAUGGAAGAACAAACUACACGUGGCUAUGACGGUGAAUCAGUUAAAAUUCCAUCGUAUGCAAGAUGAGUUUCAAACAGGAAGCCCAGCACCCGCCACUACGCGCAUCAACGCUGUCUGUCAUUGGUCCGUUUGAAUUUUGACGCCACAACUCAAUUAUUUAGUUCCGGGCGUCUCCAGGUGGUGUAAAUGUCAAGCGGAGACUGCGGCGGGUGGGUGCAGACUUAAAUGACGUGGCGGGAGGAAGGGCGAAGCGGUGUCGACUUUCUACUUAUACCCUUUCCAAGCUCUCACAGCGUGGUCCUGGGAGCUCUUGGUCAAUACACUGAAUUAUAGAAGAAAGUAUUACUCUCUGAAGCCUCAGUUCAACUCACCAAUCCCAAUAGCUUCGUGGUUCCGUCCCUCCCCGCACACGUCACGGUUCACCAGCUCACCACUCCCUCUUGCCCUGCAGCCUGGCAUCACCAUCACGCCGCGCAAGGAGAGGCUUGACACACUCCACCCUGCUCCCUGUUCAGUUAUCGACCACAGAGACACAAAAACGUGAGUCCUGCACAAGGAUGAGCGGCCUGCCACACGCUGACGGCGGAGCUGCGAACGACCCACACCACCCAGAGGCCGCCCAUCACACCCAGCACUCACCGCCCACACCCUGUAUACCAGUACCACCGUUAUGAUCAUCUACAUCUAUGGUAAUUAUGUAUUUAAGUGGUAAGAUUAAUUCACAUGGAAAAAAAGAACUUUAUUUAACUUUCUGACUGCUAUGGCUGCUCUUUGUUUUAUGAAAGAUCAGAGUAUAAUUUUGAAAGACACCUCAUUCAGGAAAAGGAGCGAUCUUGUUGUACAAAUCUUUUAGUUUUUUGCAGUUUUAUCUCUCCUCGGUAAUAUUAUGUAAGGUUACUCAUGGAGUCAUGGAGCCAUCAGUAGACAAAGAGUUAACAGAUUACACGGGUGAGAAAUGAUUUACGAAGCAAUGAUGCCAGACACGUGAUGGCGAGGCAAAGGGAGCACCACGGGUAUGCACAAGUGUCAUCCUGAACCCUUAAGGAUACACUGGAGAGGCUGAGCAGCGUGGCCAAACGAGAGACAACGUUCUGGCGUGCGAGGGUUCCACAGAAGAAAAAAAGUGAAGGGAUCGUGUCAGUCAAGCGAAUCUGCCCUGCACCAUGACGCUGCAACUCGCCUCGGAAGAACGAUGCACACCCAUGCUGAUACCCUCCCUCCUUCUCCUCCCACUACUCUCACGAAGUCACACCCCAACACUCCUUACACCCCAACACCACAAUACCUCGCCCUGCAACACAUACGCAACGCCCGCACUUCCCCCUCCCCGCCGGUGUGGGUGGCGUGGGCGGCGGUCAGCAAAGCUCGUGGGACCGGAACUGCCUCGGGGCUCCGGAAGCAGAACAAUUUAUGAUGGUUAGAGUGACGUAGCAUAACUGUGGUUUUCUCUCUCUCUCUCUCUCUCUCUCUCUCUCUCUCUCUCUCUCUCUCUCUCUCUCUCUCUCUCUCUCUCUCUCUCUCUCUCUCUCUCUUUUCAAGCAAGAGAAAUACACGGUAACCUACAGUACUUACUAAUGGACCAAUCUAUGAUACAGAUACAGAGAGCAUCCAGAAUGUGAGGAUGUAACCGUGGAUGGACCGUGUGAUACAUCAUGGCCCAAUACAUCAAACAAUCAUGACCCAAUACGUCAAGCAAUCAUAUGACGCCACAAACCACUUCAUAAACCUCACUUGAUCUGGGUAUUCUUGUUCAGAUCUCAGAAACUUCGGCAGUUGACCGGCAACUCACGUAAGCUGCUUGUCCGGCCCGCUGAUGGGAGUAAUAUCGCGGUGGCUUUGUUAUCCUGCUCGGCAUACUGUCUCUCUUCCCACUUAGAGACGACGAGCCACGUCUUUCAGUCAGAUAAUAUAGUGCCAAACACAACAGUUAGUAUCGCAUGCGACUCACGGACCACAGCCUCGCCUCCUGCUUUCGACGAUUUCGUGCCGGCUGUCUUCCCAUCUCUGAACAUUGUCACAGCCUAUCUAGUUGUACACUGGAGGAGGUGCAACUUAUACAACACUUCAAAAUACUUAUCUCAUCGAUAUCUAUGCCAAUAUCUACUUCCAGGUACCACAGGAUAAACUGUACUGAUAAAUUCAUCAUUCUGCAUGGCUUCUAACGUGUCGCUAGGCAGAUCAAAGGUAAUUUCCACUGAAAUAACCAUUACUUCCACAGCAAUUUCUUCUCCUCGGAAAAAGCUUGAAUUAUAAGAGAUGGCGUCUUAUACUCGUUACUUCACAUUCCCGAUAAGUCUUGCUAAGUGACUUCUUUUAGAUGACCCAGUGUCUUACUUUUCCUUCAUUCUGCACACUGGACACUUCAUGAAACAAGUUGAUAACAUGAAAGUCUGAUUUCCCACGCCUGCAAAGGUUCCAUACAAGUGUUCAGCGGAAAUUAGUUGCUUCUGAAUGCCACUGCAUACUCAUGAGCACAGACAGAAUCCUACAGUCUUUUAAAAUGGAAGUCUAAUUAGUCACCUCCAGGCUGUUCGAGGUUUUAAUGUCCUGUGUUAUGGUGUAAGCAGUAAGUCUGUGGUCAUUUCCAACAAACUCGGCACAGCAGGAAAGCUUGCAAAUAUGAAGGUCCUCCAGUCCAGGGAGUAUGAAUGAAAGACAGUUUCCUUGGCCACCUCUGUACCACUGUUAUGCCAAGUACAGAGAUAUUGUCUCACCAAAUAUCAGUAUGGUAAACCUUACAAAGAGAGAGAGAGAGAGAGAGAGAGAGAGAGAGAGAGAGAGA